UUGAAACAAACGGGAGUCUGUGUCACAAUUGAAGAUAAUAGAAGCAAACUCUGCAAGCCGGAGACGGUAUAAAAUCACACAUAAAUUCAAUUUGAUUGUGCCAAGAAUAAUAAUUCAAAAGACAAGUUCUACCUUUAUAAGAACCUGUGCUAAAAAAGAACUACCUACACUAACAUAAUACAAACAUAAAUGUUAACAUAGAACUUACGUGAGUUUGACAUUCCUCCACCACACAGCGCUUCUAAAACGACGAGUCUGAUUCCUGAAGCGAGUUCGAACCUGCAUCCCAACAUAUCAAAUGUCCAUGCAGUUUUUUAUCAUCCGAGUUGUACUUACGGAAAAUGAAAUGCAUGUUUUUGAAAGGCUGAAAAUAUCAUGUUAGGAAUACAAAAUGUUAGGAAAGAUUUUGAAAGGCAGAAAUGAAUAUUAUGACCAAAGUUUCAUGUUUGUAGAGAUUCAAAGACUGAGUGCCAUAGCUCUGAAACUACUGCCACACAAUCAACACAUUUGUUGAUUAAUCUUAGAGUUCUACCUGCCUUUGACGGAUAUUUUCAAGCCUUCAACAAAGUUAUGAUUAUCUAAAGAUUCAUUCACAUAUCAAGAUUGAGGCAUAGUUUCUGCAGUAAAAUUGG
rnacentral:lncRNA from 1 species